CCUACGGGUGGCAGCAGUGGGGGAUAUUGCACAAUGGGGGAAACCCUGAUGCAGCGACGCCGCGUGGGUGAAGAAGCGCCUCGGCGCGUAAAGCCCUGUCAGCAGGGAAGAAAAUGACGGUACCUGAGGAAGAAGCCCCGGCUAACUACGUGCCAGCAGCCGCGGUAAUACGUAGGGGGCAAGCGUUAUCCGGAUUUACUGGGUGUAAAGGGGGCGCAGACGGCGCUGCAAGUCAGGAGUGAAAUCCCGGGGCCCAACCCGUGGACUGCUCUUGAAACUGCGUGGCUAGAGUGCAGGAGGGGCAGGCGGAAUUCCUGGUGUAGCGGUGAAAUGCGUAGAUAUCAGGAGGAACACCGGGGGCGAAGGCGGCCUGCUGGACUGCAACUGACGUUGAGGCACGAAAGCGUGGGGAGCAAACAGGAUUAGAUACCCGUGUAGUC
rnacentral:rRNA from 1 species